UAUUUUGGGGUAAAAUAUGUUCAUUUCCUUCACUGCUAAAAGCUCUGAAAAGCCCCAGCUGGGGUUGGCUGCCUGGGGAAGGAAACUCAUCAAUCCCACAGAAGUGGGAGAGGCGCUGAUUUUGCCCGGCCUCGGUGCUCUGGCUCUGAGUCAGCUACUUAAUGAGCUCCCUGGAGCUGACCCUGAGCACAGCAGGAAGGUGUGAACACUCCCUCCCAAAAGAGUGAAAAGGUGGAGAGAGUUUUGUCACCUGCUGCAGGCUCCCGCUGCUCCCAGGGGUAAUGGCCUGGGCGGCAUUCACACCCCCAUGUAGCUGUGGGCAGGAAACUCACAGCCAGGCUGCUGGGACGAGAAGAGCCAUGUGACGGCUUGAAGUGAAAGGGAGUCAGAGGGAUGUCUUUGGAGAGAUGAGAAGAGACUCACUAAAGCAGAAUUCGCAAGGAAUUAUUUUCUUCCUCCUUCCAGACUCAGCAGGAUGGAGGGAAAGUCUCACUGCAGACAGGGACACAGUCAGAUGACGUGGCAGCCAGGCAGCAGACAGCUUUUGCUGAUGAUGAGCUAUUACAUUGGUCAAGACUUUAUUGCAGGUGAUAAAACCCACUUCCAAUACACCCAAGUGAAAAAGAAGGUGAUUUGUGUUUCCCAUGACUGGGGUGUAUAGGGGCAAAGCUGUGCUCUGGAAUGAUUGAGACCUGACGGGAUAUGGGCUCCAUCUCCAGAUCAGCCUCUGCACACAGUCAGUGUGGACAGAAAGAGUCACACUGUAAAAUACUUGAGGAGAUUUAUUAUGAGCCAAAUAUGAGUGACCAUGGCCCAUGAUACAGCCUCAGGAGAUUCUGA
rnacentral:lncRNA from 1 species